rnacentral:lncRNA from 1 species
CAGAACACCAAGCUCAUGACCCGCCUUACCUACACCCUUGACGAGAUUGAGGGACCUUUUGAAGUGUCCCCCGAUGGCACCAUUAAGUUUGUGGAGAAGGAUGGAAUUGACUAUGCUGCUGUGACAGUUCAGCUGCCUGGAGGCGAGCGUGUGCCCUUCCUUUUCACCAUCAAACAAUUGGUAGCAUCAGGCAAGCCUGAGAAUUUCGGAGGAGAGUUCCUUGUACCAUCAUACCGUGGAUCAUCCUUCUUGGACCCAAAGGGAAGGGGUGGUUCAACUGGUUAUGACAAUGCUAUUGCAUUGCCUGCUGGCGGAAGAGGGGAUGAGGAAGAUCUCGCCAAGGAGAAUAUCAAGAAUACUUCAUCUUCAACAGGGAAGAUCACCCUCAGCGUUACCAAGAGCAAGCCUGAGACUGGAGAGGUUAUUGGAGUGUUUGAGAGCCUUCAGCCAUCUGAUACUGAUAUGGGAGCCAAGGUUCCAAAGGAUGUUAAGAUCCAGGGUAUCUGGUAUGCACAGCUUGAGCAAUAGAGCUUUUCUUGUAUGAGUGUACUUAUUCCUAUUCAGAUUUUGAAACAUGUUGAAGGUGUUGCUAAACAUUUCUGUAAUUCAAUUUAGUAGCACUGAGAAUGUUGUCAUGUCUGUAUAUUAUCGUGGCAUGCUAUAAUAAUGCUUGCAAUUCUGAACGGUGAUGGGUUUGAGUGAUUUGAGGCCUGAACACACCUCUCACCAGUGAUAUCGAAAGCCUGGAGACAUUUCCACAUGUAGCCUAUAGCCGCCCAUCCCAUUAUGGGAUUCUCCUGAUCGGGAAUAGCCUGAUGCAGUGAUUGGAAUUGACAUUGUUAAUGUUCAUCCUGUUAUUACCUCAAAACUUAUUAGCCCAUGGAAGGUCAGAAAUGAGGCCAUAGAAGGUCAUAAAUGAUCAUCUUUCCAGGUCGCUAGCACUAUUUAUUAAACUCCUGGCCGUGGAGAAUGAAUAUGCCAACUCUUGCCAAAAUGUAUUCCGGCUUCAGAUAUCAGGGAAACUUUAUUGCUCUAACUUAAUUAGAGGCUAC